rnacentral:rRNA from 1 species
CCUACGGGAGGCAGCAGUGGGGAAUAUUGGACAAUGGGGGCAACCCUGAUCCAGCCAUGCCGCGUGUGUGAAGAAGGCCCUCGGGUUGUAAAGCACUUUCAGUGAGGAAGAACGCCUGGUGGUUAAUACCCAUCAGGAAAGACAUCACUCACAGAAGAAGCACCGGCUAACUCCGUGCCAGCAGCCGCGGUAAUACGGAGGGUGCGAGCGUUAAUCGGAAUUACUGGGCGUAAAGCGCGCGUAGGUGGCUUGAUAAGCCGGUUGUGAAAGCCCCGGGCUCAACCUGGGAACGGCAUCCGGAACUGUCAAGCUAGAGUGCAGGAGAGGAAGGUAGAAUUCCCGGUGUAGCGGUGAAAUGCGUAGAGAUCGGGAGGAAUACCAGUGGCGAAGGCGGCCUUCUGGACUGACACUGACACGGAGGUGCGAAAGCGUGGGUAGCAAACAGGAUUAGAUACCCCGGUAGUC